GUCGAUUGGUGGAUCUGUCCGUCACACAGCAGAGUGGACUCUCCCAGUUGUGAUGUCACGAGUGGGCCCUCCAGGUUGUGAUGUCACGAGUGGACUCUCCCAGUUGUGAUGUCACGAGUGUACUCUCCCAGUUGUGAUGUCACGAGUGGACUCUCCCAGUUGUGAUGUCACGAGUGGACUCUCCAGGUUGUGAUGUCACCAAUGGACUCUCCCAGUUCAGUUGUGAUGUCACAAGUGGACUCUCCCAGCUCAGUUGUGAUGUCACAAGUGGACUCUCCCGGUUGUGAUGUCACCAGUGGACUCUCCCAGUUCAGUUGUGAUGUCACAAGUGGACCCUCCCAGUUGUGAUGUCACGAGUGGACUCUCCCAGUGCAGUUGUGAUGUCACAAGUGGGCUCUCCCGUUUAUGAUGUCACAAGUGGACACUCCCGGUUGUGAUGUCACAAGUGGGAGUCCGAAGAGGCUGCUCACGGCUCCUCGCCGGGCAGCCUGCUGGGGAGAUAGGGCCCCUUUAAACAGCGCAAUUACACCUCACCACGCUAGGCUGCAUCUCUCCGAACAAAGCACAUACCGCCCCGGUACAAAAAGUCUCCAGCACUGUCAGUCCGUCCGGCCUCCCCCUCCCCAUCUGGACCGAUCAUCUGUCUGUGCUGUGUGCCCCAUCCUGUGUCCGUCUCCGUUGCUUCGUGCCGUAUUUGAACCGUCAACCUCCCCGGCGCCCCCCGGUGGCGGGCUUUGGCUGUGGUCUGUGGUCUGUGGUGGUGUCGUGUGUCGCCGCGCCCCCCACCCCGAGCACGCUCAGUGUGUGUCCGCUGUCAGCCGCCCUCCAUCUUGUCCGGACCCCCCCUCCACUGCAACCCCCCCCCCCCCCCCCC